UACAGAGGAGCCAAGCGUUGUCCGGAUUGACUGGGCGUAAAGCGCACGCAGGCGGUGGCGCGCGUGGGGUGUGAAAUCUGGCCGCUUAACGGCCAGGCGCCAUCCCAUACGGUGCGACUGGAGUGAUGCAGAGGUCGAUGGAAUUGCCGGUGUAGUGGUGAAAUGCGUAGAUAUCGGGAGGAAUACCAGUGGCGAAGGCGGCUUCUUGGCCUAUUCUUGACGCUGAGGCGCGAAAGCUGGGGGAGCAAACGGG
rnacentral:rRNA from 1 species